CCAUUGUGUACAUUCGCUCAGCUGUUCUCAGGCAGCUCCUAUCGUGACUCGCAGAUCCGCCGAGAUUUUUCGUAGUUUUCCCGUUUAUUUUUAGUACAUUGCGAUGGUGCGUGUGAUCUCCAUGAAUUUUCGCAACACAGCAAAAUGUCGUGCGUCCUCUGAUUCGGCAUAAUAUUCGUCGGUCACGCUGCUCUUGGGUAGCAGUCACUUAUCCUUGCUCUCAGUUUUUCUCAACUCUUGGUGUUCGAAAAUAUUCGACACCUCUUGUAUCUGGCUUUUAUGCCUUUUGUGUUUUGAUUCCUGAUAUUUUACAAGACUUCACAUUGUCAAUAAUGAGGAGCGACAGAUCAAGUGUUUUUCGCGACAUUUACAAUCAGCCCUAUGAUGAUUACACCAGAGUUAAGCUCUAUUCCAGCACAAAAGCAAGUCUGCAGCUCAUGCAGAGAAUGGCAUUACUGAAAAGAUUAAAAGUUCACAAUGGCUGUGUGAACUCUAUUUGCUGGAAUAAUAGUGGGGAUUUAAUCUUGUCUGGUAGUGAUGAUCAACAUCUCGUACUGACCAAUGCUUACAACUAUCAGCACAUGCAUCUUUCAUUGCAGGUGUUAACGGACUACAAGACUAGCCAUAGAGCAAACAUAUUCAGUGCCAAAUUUUUACCCAACAGUGGAGAUCAUCGUAUCGUAUCAUGUAGCGGAGACGGUAUCAUUCUUUACACUGAUCUAAUGAGAAGGGCCGAGACCUUCCACAAUCAAUUUACAUGUCACAGCGGAACCACUUACGAAAUAGCUACUAUACCUGGCGAGCCUCAUAGUUUCUUAAGCUGUGGCGAGGAUGGUACUGUGCGAUGGUUCGACCUUAGAGUAAAGGACAAGUGCAGCGCUACGAGAUGCAGAGAGGAUGUAUUGAUCUCAUGCCAAAGAGCCGUGACCGCCCUCUCCGUUAACCCUAUAAUGCCUCAUCAAGUAGCAAUUGGAUGUUCGGAUAGCACAGUAAGAACAUUUGACAGGCGGAUGCUUGGGACACCAGCUACGGGCUGGAUCGAUAACGGAGGAGCGGUGAAACCACUUUGCAGUUUCACGGUACCGGAAUUCGAGGGAAAUUUUUACAGAAUUACUUCACUUAGCUAUAGCCCGGAUGGCCAGGAUGUUCUUGUCAGUUACAGUAGCGAUCAUCUGUACUUAUUCAGUGUCAAGGAUCAAGGUAGCGUACAUCUUAGAAAGGAUUCCGUGGCGGGUAAAGGUAAAGGUAAGAAGCAUCCUUUGAGAUCACCGCAGCCUGUUCGUCGUUUGAGAUUGAGAGGUGACUGGUCUGACACGGGUCCUGAUGCUCGUCCGGAGCGCGAGGGUGGUCGUCGAGGCGGGACAGAAAUAGCACAGGCACGUCCGGUCCUCCACACAUCUCUGAUGCAGCGGAUGACAGACGUAUUGAGCAGAAUGCUGAACGACCCAGCAACACGUGCGGCGCUCUCAGGAGGCGGCGAAGACAGUCUGGAAGGAGUGGGCGAUCAGCAAGAAGACGCUGAUCAGAGUGCUAACGAGAACAAUGCAGAACCGGUCGAAGAAAGAAGCAACGAGCAGGAGAAUGCUGAGAGAGAAUCCGAAGAGAGAGAAUCUACUGAGAAUGCGGCGCCUAAUGAUGCACCUAGCGUAGUAAAUCCAAGUACAGAUGAUUUAAAUGACGUGGUGGAAGCAGCCUUUGAGAAUUUACUAGAUGCCAGUCGUGAACAUCCUGAACUACUUGAAGAACCAUCUUCUUCCGGUUCUACAACUAGUGAUAAUAGAUCCUCGGAUAGGCUUAGAACCGAGCCGGAAGUUCCUAUGGAUACCCAAUCUAGUCAUCCGGAAGUACCCAAAAGUUCUAUUCAAUCUCUUAGAUCUCUGAGUAUAUCUCGUUCUGACAGCGAAGGUGAACGAGUUAGUCGCAGUGAGGGUGAGCCCUCGAGUUCAAAUCUAGAGCGAAAUCGAGAUGGAAAUAUGAUGGAGAAUCUACACAAUAGACUCACAACCAUGAGGGAUGGUUUUCUUGAGAGACAUGGCAGUGAGCCUGCCGUUAGCUUAACGUAUUCGGAUAAAAGUUCAACUGGCGCUACAAUCUCCUUAGGCGUUGCUGAUGAAUUCACACGUGAUAGCUAUCACCCAGGUCCGUCCGGUAGUCAAAGUCAUCAAAGUGCUGGGAUGUCCGAUGCAGGUCCAAGUAAUAACAGCAGUCGUCAUGAAGAAUCUGCGCAUCUAAAAUCAGAUGAUGACACGUAUAAUGAUAGCGAUGACGAAGAUAUGGAGUCAGAUAGAAGACUGGUAAAUCCUAUUGAAACGGAAAUGGACGAGGCCAUAGCCAAUGCGCGCGCAUCUCAAGGCCAUGAGACGUUCGACGAGACUUACUUAACCGAAUUACGCGUCAAGCAGAAAUACAUGGGACAUCGUAAUGCCAGUUUCUUUAGGACAAUGAUCAAAGAGGCCAACUUCUGGGGCAACGAUUACGUCAUGUCCGGCAGCGACUGCGGACACGUUUUUUUCUGGGAGCGCGAGACCGCCAGGCUCUGUAUGCUUCUCGAAGCUGAUCAGCACGUUGUCAAUUGUCUCCAGCCACAUCCCUUCCUGCCGAUGCUAGCAACUUCCGGAAUUGAUUAUGACGUUAAACUAUGGGCGCCCAUCAACGAGGAAUCAAGUUUCGAUGACAAAUUCGCUGAAGAUCUCCAGAAGAGGAAUGCCGUCAUGCUGGAAGAGACCAAAGACACCAUCACUGUACCUGCCGUCUUUAUGAUCAGGAUGCUGGCUUGUCUCAAUCAGAUACGCAGAGUAAGCAACCUUCUAUCCUGUCAUCCAGUCAUCGGAUCGUGCAAUACUUCUCGUGUGCAUGUUGUUCAAAAGUCAUUGUCUAAAUAUGAAAAAGCAUAUACUGUACCUAAGGGAUGAAAACAAAAACAUCCUAGUUAAACUUAGUUCCGGCGCAAAUCGACCACGAAAUUUUGACUGUGCUGGAAACGAUGUGUCAGGAAGUAUAAACGAAGCCACUAACUAAUUGAUCGAUCGAUGUUUUCACAAACUUUUGCAUGUGGAUGUCCUUAUUGUGAUUAACAAUAAGAAAGAUAUACGUGAAAAUUUCUCAAAUUGAAAUUAUGUCUUUCUCUUACGUAAUACAAAGUGGACUUUCAUGAAAAUCAAGAGGUCAUGCGAAUCGAGAGAUCGAAUGAUUCCCAUGUGUCUGAAAUCCCAUAGUGGCUUCCGCUUGGCCUUAGACCAACGUUGGAGCCCGAAAAAGACGCGGACGUAACAGGAGAAGAAGCGGCGAUGAGACUGACGAUUUGCGAGGAGGUUAAAUUGCUAUUGACAUCCGUGCCGCAAGAUAUAGCUUACAAUUAGAUAAUCAUCCUGACGGCUGUUCCACGAAGGAAGCAAGAUUAGAAGAAGAUUAGCUUGUGAAAUAUUGAAAGGAUAAUCUAUCGAGAUGAAGGAAUAUUAAAGUAUGGUCGACUAGGUAGAGUAUCUGUACCAAUGACAGAUAGAUACUGAAAAAAAUGAAGUAACUUCGAUCGAAGCUUCAUCAUGCUCGAUUAUGAUUGGCGUGAAUAAUUUAAUUUUCAUAUUUUCUAUUCGAACUGGAAGUCACUCAAGUUAUCCUAAUGGAUUUCAUAGUAAAGGUUAUGUUGCGUAUUGGAUGAAAAAAUCGUUUUUCUUGAGACUCGACCAAAGUUUAGAUAUAGAUAUCGAAUGCGUUAGAUAAAAAUUACGUAGAUCAGAUUAGGCCAAUUGUUAAUGAAAUAUUUAAAAAGGAAACGAGGACGUGUCAGAUACAUUUGGAUUUUCUUGUAGUCGUGAUUUAACGUACGUCCACCGGUGUGAAUCAAUGAACGUUAAAUUCUCAUUGACCUUUUUUUCUGGGGUUUGUUUUACUCGUUUCCGUACUAUCAAUUUUUCGGGACUUGAUAAACGAAAUUAUGAAAACUUAUAAACCUUUGUUCACAACGGUUGCUUUGGGUAUGAUCGAUUCUUAUUAAGAAUCUCGUUGGUAGUCUCUCUUUUUGUUUUUUUGCAAAUUCUGAUCAAACUGUAAUACCGACAGGAGAUAGGUUUUUGGAGUAAUAGUUACUAGAACGGCGAAGGAAUAAACUAUGUAGAUAUUAUUUGAUACGAAGCCAUGGCUGAGUUUAGGGCGUCUCAGUUAGUCAAUGAGUGCAAGUAUAAUGCAUUAAUAAGAUAAUAAGGGAGACCAUAAUGGGUCUGCGCUUCCGAAACCGCUAUGAGAAUUUUGCACUGUUGCAAGUAUUUGUAUUUGUUUUUUUUCUCGUUUUUUUUUUCUUCUUUAGCGAUAAGAACAAAGACUAGUACUUUGCGCAAUUAUAAACUUUUUCUUGCAUUUCACGGUCGUUCCUAAGCAUAUCUCGGACUGUUUGAUGAAUUUCGACGUCUUCAAUUUCGACUAAUGUUUUUUUUUGGUUCUUUUUAUAUCACUAAAUUGUCCCUUUUAUUCGAGUGAAGUAAAGCGAGUGAUGACGUUACGGUUGUGAGUGACGCGUUGCGUAUCCUCCAGAGGUGGCCGUGGUAUUUUUUUUUUUUUUUAAGGGGAGAAAAGUCAAUAUCAAAACGUUAAGGAAAAUGAAUAAACGAGGGAAAGUGAGGAAGGACAUACAAAAAAAAUAAGAUAAACAUGAGCCGUGUGCCUUAACGCAAUAAUAUUCCUGAUGGUUCUGUGUCGAGUGACGUAAUGCAAAAGUUGCCUAGAGAACUGGAAGCAAGAGAGUAAAACAUCUCGCGCUCUCUGUUCCUCCUUAUUUUUCAAUAAAACUAAGGGAGAAGGGAUGUACCGCUCCUCUGGAGGGUUCACUGAUAAUACAAAAUAUCACUAGAAUUUAAGCCAUUAUACAUAUAAUAGAGCAAUUCUAGGUGUCCUGGAUGAACCUAUACCAGCGAUCCUUUGUGCCGUGACGCUUUUCGAUUGUAUAUUUAAUACUGAAUAUGUUUACAGAAUAGUAUUAUAUUGUAGAAAUUUUGUUUAUAAUAAAAUGCUUCAAAGAACGUAA